rnacentral:rRNA from 1 species
UACGAGAGGCCCAAACGUUAUUCGGAAUUACUGGGCUUAAAGAGUUCGUAGGCGGCGCAGAAAGUAGGGUGUGAAAGCCCUCGGCUCAACCGAGGAAUUGCGCUCUAAACUACUGUGCUUGAGGAAGCUAGAGGUGAGCGGAACUGAUGGUGGAGCGGUGAAAUGCGUUGAUAUCAUCAGGAACACCGGAGGCGAAGGCGCUCACUGGGGCUUUUCUGACGCUGAGGAACGAAAGCCAGGGGAGCGAACGGG